rnacentral:rRNA from 1 species
UGGGGAAUAUUGGACAAUGGGCGCAAGCCUGAUCCAGCAAUGCCGCGUGUGUGAAGAAGGCCUUCGGGUUGUAAAGCACUUUUAUCAGGAGCGAAACGCUGUCGGCUAAUACCCGGCGGAACUGACGGUACCUGAGGAAUAAGCACCGGCUAACUUCGUGCCAGCAGCCGCGGUAAUACGAAGGGUGCAAGCGUUAAUCGGAAUUACUGGGCGUAAAGCGUGCGUAGGCGGUUUCUUAAGUCUGCUGUGAAAUCCCCGGGCUCAACCUGGGAAUGGCAGUGGAUACUGGGAGGCUAGAGUGUGUCAGAGGGUGGUGGAAUUCCCGGUGUAGCGGUGAAAUGCGUAGAGAUCGGGAGGAACAUCAGUGGCGAAGGCGGCCACCUGGGACAACACUGACGCUGAGGCACGAAAGCGUGGGGAGCAAACAGGAUUAGAUACCCUGGUAGUCCACGCCCUAAAGCGAUGCGAACUGGAUGUUGGCCUCAACUCGGAGAUCAGUGUCGAAGCUAACGCGUUAAGUUCGCCGCCUGGGGAGUACGGUCGCAAGACUGAAACUCAAAGGAAUUGACGGGGUCAUAGCUGUUUCCUG